rnacentral:rRNA from 1 species
AUACGGAGGGUGCAAGCGUUACUCGGAAUCACUGGGCGUAAAGCGCGCGCAGGCGGGCUGAUAAGUUGGAUGUGAAAGCCUACGGCUCAACCGUAGAACUGCAUCCAAAACUGUCAGUCUAGAGUCUGGGAGGGGAAGAUGGAAUUAGUUGUGUAGGGGUAAAAUCCGUAGAGAUAACUAGGAAUACCAAAAGCGAAGGUGAUCUUCUGGAACAGUACUGACGCUGAGGCGCGAAAGCGUGGGGAGCAAACAGGAUUAGAUACCCUUGUAGUCC